rnacentral:rRNA from 1 species
GACGUAGGGCGCGAGCGUUGUCCGGAUUUAUUGGGCGUAAAGAGCUCGUAGGCGGCUUGUCGCGUCGGUUCGUGAAAACUUGGGGCUCAACCCCAAGCUUGCGGUCGAUACGGGCAGGCUAGAGUUCGGUAGGGGAGACUGGAAUUCCUGGUGUAGCGGUGAAAUGCGCAGAUAUCAGGAGGAACACCGGUGGCGAAGGCGGUUCUCUGGGCCUACCUGACACUGAGGAGCGAAAGCGUGGGGAGCGAACAGG